rnacentral:rRNA from 1 species
UUGUACACACCGCCCGUCACACCAUGGGAGUGGGUUGCAAAAGAAGUGGCUAGUCUAACCUUUGGGGGGCGGUCACCACUUUGUGAUUCAUGACUGGGGUGAAGUCGUAACAAGGUAGCCCUAGGGGAACCUGGGGCUGGAUCACCUCCUUAA